CGCUGAGCAUGCUGGAGAGGAGGGGCUUGAUAGGCCGCGGCCCGUGGCCUGGGCUCCGGCUGCGGAGUGGGCACCGAGCCCCUUGUUUGCCUGUAGAUAGCCUUGCGUGUGAGUGGAGGGGUCUGCCGCCGCUGACGCGACUCAGGCACCAGAGGCAAAUGUCUUUCUGUUACAUCCAUAUAAGUAAAGAUUCCAAUAUCUUUCCAACCUGUAAGAUAUGUUGAUGCUUUGCAAAGCCUUUCGAAAUUUUUGCUGCGGAGAUUGCAUGGAAGGUGAUACAGAAAGUACAAAACAGAGGAAAAAGAGGCAGAAUGAUAGUAACAAAGAAAUCCGCUUCAGAAAAAGGUCCUCAGAGCGGCUCGCUGAGUACUUAAGAAAAAGAACAGAGAAAGCAAAAGAUGCAAGACACCAAAAAGGGAAUUCUUCUCCAAAACUCGGAAGUAGAUCAAACAGACAGCACAGCAAAGAAAAUAUGAGUGUUAAAGGCAUUAUGGCACAUGGAGGCAGAGUAAGCAGACAGCAGAGCA